GUGAGGGUAAAGUUUCCUUGUACUCCUGGGGCUCGCGACGUGCCGCGUGGGGUUGGGGAUCCCCUGGUCAUCCCAGCAACCCCAGCGCCUUCAGGAAACAAGCCCCCAACCCUGGUCUCCAGCCCUAACUCGGCCGGCUGCCUGAAGACUGCUGGGCGCGCAUUCAGGGACUGUGCGCGAGAGGAGGGCACCCUGCUUAGCUCUGGCUAACUCCAUCACUCCACCUUGCCUUAGCGUGACUGUUUGCAGUUUGGAAAUAGCAAGUCUCUCAUCUCCUUCCUUAGCCCAGCAUUGAGGAAAGAACCCACCCUCCAUCAGCCUGCCGCCCUCCUCCUGCAUUGCAAGCCCAAGAAGCAUCCAGCAGCGCCCAGGCCCAGCGCUGCCCUUCUAGUGAGAAGAACCUGGUGCCCCGGACCCUGCGUCUCUCAGGACCAGCCCGGUACCAGGGUCCACCUUUGUCCUUUCUUGGCGUGCAUGUUCUCUCCCCUCACCCCACCCUCGCCGGCCCGGUGGACUGUGCUGGCAUGAAAGCAGCUCCCCACCCCAACUCUGUGGGCAACGAGCUACUGAUUGGAGAGGACAGAUCCUCCUUCCCACAGUGAACUGCGGAUGCUGUUCCCCACAGCUGAAGUUUUGAGAGCAGAUGAGCCUAAGGGGAGAUGCUGUGGCUAUAGAAAGCUCUUCUUUGAAGGACAGGACUCAAAGCAAGCCCCCCAGAUCCCUUCUCAGAUCACCGCAACUUGCCAGAGGUUCUCUGGGAACCAACACAGUUCUGAGAAGCCAUAUACCAGUCGGGCUAGACCAUUCAGCCUAGUUCCUUGGAGACCCACAUCAGUGUCCACCUCAGUGGGAAUGACAUCUGUCAGGCUAUAGAGACUAGAUGAAGCACCCCGAUGGCCACCUAGCUUCUUUAGGGGUCACGAGUGUCAGGGUCUCUCUGGGGCAAGAGCCCAUUGAGACCCUGCCGUGGGCAGAAGAGUAAAGCUUAGGUAGCCCCCCCCCCACAACCUUUCUACCAAAACCAUGUUACAGUUGCAGCCCAAAAGGUGAUAGAGACAAAUAAAGCACAAAUAAAAUCCCUUUGUGCGUGUAUGGAGUAUGUAUGUACAUAUGAAGCAUGUGUAUGUGUGUGGGGCAUAUGUUUACAUAGGAUGUGUGUGCAUGGUAAUGUAUUGCAUGAUGUGUGCAUGGGGUGUGUGUUUAUACAGGAUGUGUGUAUAUGUUGUUUGUGUAUGUUCAUAGGGUGUAUGCUCACAGACAGUUUACAUGUGCAUGGCUAUAUGUGUGCAUGAGGUAUGUGUGCAUGGGUGUAUUUGCAUGGGGUAGCUAUGUACAGAGUGUGAAUGUACAGGAUAUGCAUGGAUGGAUGUGUGUACAUGGUAUGUAUGGGGUGGGUGUACACAGUGUAUGUGGUGUGUGUGCAUGAGGUGUAUAUACACUGGGUAUAUGUUUGCAGAGGGUGUGUUUGUGUGUGUAUGGGGCAUAUGUGUGUAUGAUGUAUGGAUGCUCAUAGGAUGUGUGUUUAUGGAGUUUACAUGUACAUGUGUGUGCACAUGGGGUGUAUUUGCAUGGAAUAUGUGUGCACAGGGUGUAUAUGGUAUGUGUGUGCAUGGAAUGUAUGUGCAUGAGAUGUAUAUGCAUGAUGGGUAUGUACAUAGGAUAUGUGUGUACACAGGGUAUGUGUUCAUGUUUACACAGGACAUGUACAUGCAUAGGAUAAUUGUGCAUGGUAUGUAUGUAUAUGGUGUGUGUUUGCAUGGAGUAUAAGUGUGUGAAAAGGGUAUGUGCACAUAGUACAUGUUACAGUCCUCCAGCUGUGUUUCUUAACCCUUGUGACCCUGUGACCUUGCUUGCCUUGUGAAUGAUCCUAGGGCUGCCCCGCUCAUUUUAUGUUCCUUCCUUUGGAGGGGUUCUGUAGGAAGGGAUAGCCUAGCCUCUGCCUCUACAGUUUGCUCCCCUGGAUCUGAACAGGACGCUUACACUGCAGGUCUUGGAGACACAGAUCUCUAGGCCCAGAAGGUCAUUACAAGGAAGACAUUUCCCUUGUUAAGCAACUGAAAAGGGAACCAUGAGGGGUGGGCUAAUCUUCCCACCCCUCUGCCCUUGGGUGUCCUUGGGUGUCUCGAUAUAGGGGAUUGGCAACCAAGAUUCCUGAGCUGCUCUGUGCAUCCACAGCCUACAGCUCAGGCAUCUUCUUCCCCACCAGUAAACUGGGAGACUGACAGUGGAGCUCAGCCAUCCAGGAGGCUCCUGACCACCAGUCUCCAGCUUGUUCUUCCUCACUCAGUGCCUCUCUCCAGCACCCAACACAGGACCCUGCUUCUUCCACCCCUCUCUGUUCUCUGGCCUCCUCUCUUACCACUUCCCACUGCCCCCAAGUGCUGUCCAGGCCACAGCACAGUGGACACUAUUAAUAAGGGUAUGAGUGCCACCUGUAUCCCUGUGGCAUGUAGGGGUGCUGUUUCUGUUAAGCUGCAGUGUUCCACUACUGAGAGUUCUUUCAAGACCCUGUGCAGGAAACUGACUCAUCCUAAGUAGGAUGUCCUGGGGGCAGAUAUACCUCUCGUGGAUGUGGAUACUCCCUCUCCCACAGAGCAGGAGGGACCAAGCUGGAUGUGGUCCUCUGAGCGCCUGAUGACAGCAUCCAGAACCUUUCUUAUGGUGAGGGUCCUUAUUCAGGUGGGCUGGAUGAGCAAGUGGGCCUAUCCCAGCAGUAACUCCAGGGAUCCAGGUGGAAAUGGAAGUUGAAAGAUAAGGAAGCCCCAAGGAACAAGAGGAGGGCUCUAAGUGACCAAAAUGCCUUCAAACCAGGUCCCAGAUCCACAGGCAGUAGAGCUCACUGACUAGGACCCAGCAGGAUGCCUCUAGGUAAGCAUAGUCUUGAGCCUUCCUAGUACAGCUGGCUGGGGGUGGUGGGACAUGGAAAUGCCGUCCUGCCAGCAGGUGUGGGACAAGACUCCACCUGCCCUGGGUUGCUGAACCAUCUCAAUCGAGCUGUAAGAAAGGUGUUAUUUGCAGCAGGGAGCACUUUUUCCCCUUCAAUUUCUGGCAUGUUCUAACAUUUGUCAUACCAGAUGGAUUGUCACAAACAUCUGAGGUGACACUAUUGUUGUUACUUCUAUGAUAUCAAAGCCAAGGUCAUUGGAGAAGGAAGAGAGACCCAGCUCUGAGACUAAUAUUCCCCUCCCCCUCCUAUAUCACAGCCUCUGGACAUUGAUUCCCCAGGCCUGGGGCACUCACGUCCUGGCAGCAUCGUGAAUCUCCUGUUACCCUGCUCCACUCCCUCCACACCUGUAGAAGCCUUUUCCUCCUGAGAAUAUCUGCCCAAGGGAGCACUGCACACGCCUUAUUGUCAAAGACAUCUACAAAUAGCUGCUCAUAUCUCCAGUCCAGAAAUCCAGAAGUGCUUGUGUUGUUUCAAGCAUGAGCCCAGAGCCAACUCAGUGGCUGCCAGAGCCAGCGGCUACCUAGGCAAUGCUAUGUGACUCAUGAAUAUUUAUGAUUGAGGGUACAUUCACCCUCCAAUUUACCUCCAAUUAAGCCAAUGGAGCUUUCCUAGCAACUCCAAUCACUAACUUUGAGCGCCUCUCUUCAAAUGGUUCCCUUCUAGCAGAUAGGGUGGUUAGACUUGACUUCCCUUCCUGUGUUCUGGUGCCAGUUUCAGCUUACUGUCUUUGUGAAGCCCAUGGUACGUUCCUGCCCUGUUCUCAGAGAGCCCUGGACCUCAUCCCAGUCCUGGUGAAGAUAAUUACCUGGUGUCCAUUUGCAGAGUUUAAAUACGAUUUCUCGGCAUUGGGAACAUGAAUUUGGCUAUGGUAUGUUGAUGGGUUGGCACGUGUUCCCUCCUGCUGGCUGGGUCCCAGCUGGGACAGCCAUCUCCACUGUUGAAGGCCAGAAGGUUCCUUUCAAUUGGGCCAUCAACACCAGCCCAGCCAUGAGCAUCAAACAUCAGAGUACAGGAACCUGUUCAUUGAGGAAGACCACUGCCUACAGAGCACCUAGAUGUUCCCAUGGGCCAGUGACAGCAAGGACAGCUCUUCCUGUGCUUUCUGUAUGAAGUUAAGGUCUGGCUGCCUGUCAACUUUGCAAUCCUGAAACUAGGCUCCAUCUUGAGCAGGAGAGACAAGGAGAAGCUUGGGGAAGUCAGGGCUGUGGAGGAGGUGGAACAUCAAUAGCCUGGAAGACUGUGCCCAGCCAGGGAAGUCCCUAGGGCAUGUGUUGAGAUCUCUAAGAUAACUAAAAACGCCAGCCAUCCCACAGCUCUGUGAUCUUGUUCUUUGGUGAGGACCGGCCCUCCCUGGAGCAGGUCUGCAGUUCAAGGCCCAGACCAUCCAGUGCAGGUCUGCUGUCCAUCCAUUCAGCCUAACAACCAUCUGGGCAUGCUGCCAGCCCCACCAGAAAUAAGAACAAAAUAAUUCUACCCCCUUCCCAGAGCUCAGAUCAGGAUGACUCACUUGGGCUGAGUGAAGAGACAAAUGGAUCCAUGAUAUAACUUUGUCCUUGGUCAAAAGGACACCAGUGCUCUGACCUGUCAUUCUGCCCCACCUCUCAAGUGUGUGGUUAGUUCUUGAACAGGCCAAGCAACUCCCCGUUUACCUUUCCCCUGUUUCACUGAGCCCUUAGCACAGCUGGCUGCUUCACAGGGGGCCAUUGCUGCAUCAUCCUUGGUUAUCCUGACUCAUGCCCAUGACAACACUUUCGAAAGUAAAGAAGGAUGGGGUGGGGGAGGGGUGAGCAGAAGCAUUGACUAGCAUGGUGCUGUUAGGUAUUGGGGACAAUCCCACUCCCUCUGGCCUGAUGGAGGAGCCAGCUGUGGCUGAAAAGGCUUAAAAGGAGGAACAUGGAAUUGACUUUUUUAUAUUGAAAAUCCUGCCCUAAGAAAUCAAUCUGGCAUUCCAGAAGGAGGCCCCGGAGCUGCGUAUGAGCCACCAUCCCCAGGUGCCUGACCCCAAUCUUCUCGGUGAAGUGGCUCUGAGAGGCUUUGCAGUCUGAGUACCAGCUUCAUACUGGGUUUCAGCCCUGGUCUGCAUCUGGACUAUGCCAAGCAGCUGGGGCUCUGGGACAGCAGCCCAUCUCCAUGCCUCCUGGUACAGCCCAAAGAGCAGAAACCAUACCCUGGGCUCCCCACUCUACACCUGCAGAACUUGCUGUGUGCUAGAAGAGUCCAGGGCAGAUUUGGGUUCUUGUGUUGUCCCUCUACAUCGGAGGGUCACACUGAGAGCCAGUUAAGCAUGCCUGAGGGCCAGUUUGGAACCGUGUUGCCACCAGUCUCUUGCUACUGCCCGAAUAUGCAGCCAGAGCUUGCUUUCCACACACAAUGGCUUCUCUGUUCUCUUUGGGAAUCCCUGGUCCAGCUCUCAGGAAGAAACAGUCUCAAGUUGACAUGUGGACAGCUGAUGGGUAACAGCCAAGGUCCAGGCCCAACACUGACCAGGGUUUGAUGUUUAAGCGGUCUUUUAACUUCUGCAAGCCUGUUUCCUCAUCUGUAAGUAGGACAAUCAACGCCUAGUACUCAGCUGUGGAAUUAAAAGCCCAAGACAGCAGGGCCUUGGCACAGCACAUUGUGCUUAGAGCCAAGCCCUAGAGCAGAGCCUUCUAGGGAGCUAGGGAGAGAAGAGACACUUCUCAUGGAGGGCUUGGUCUGCUGGGUGGGCUGAGAAAGAUGUGGACUGCUCAAAGGCCUGAAAUUGGGAGCUCACAGAAUGUUCCCUCCCUGCCUUGGGGCCAGUCCUUGUAGCUCUAGGAGGACAUCAUUAGCAGGCAGUUAGGUAGUCAUUGUAACCACAUCAGAGAAGAACUGAGGACCCAAGCGAGUUUGAGGCCUCAGAAUUUCUUUUUCAAAGCAGGGAGGGCACUGCUCAGUCCCUGCCAGGUGCCCCUUACCAGCACCCCCUAGACACUAGGAAUGAUCAGUCCUCAGAAACCCCCACCACCCCAUGGUGGAGGGUCUGUGUCAUGGGGAGGAGUGUGGAGUCAGAAAGAAGGUGGGUCUGUGAGCCCAGGCAGGCUCUCAGCUGUGCUAGCUGUGGCAGCUGCUUGCUCAUCUCCCUUCUCCAACACCUGUUCUCAUCCAAAUUGAACUUCUGUUUCAUAAACCACCUCCAUGAAGCUCUGGAGAGGUAGAGACUCCUUACGCUGCUAAUUAAGGUUCCUGCCCCUUACCUCCCACUUAAUUAGCAGUAACACCCACUCAGCCCCAGCGGGCUCUCUCUCUAUCUCCUACAGAGGUUCCUGUAGGCUUCGCACAGAGUUCCUUCAUCUCCCACAGCUCCGGAUGUAUGGGGGGUGCUCUGCUUGCCAGCCAGGCGGCUAUGACUCUGUGGCAGAGAUGCUUCACUCAGAAUGAUUUUAAUAGGAUUCCUAUGCCCGAGGCUAUGCUUGCUGGAUAGAAGGUUAGCAAGUGGGGGGAGUUCCCAGGGUUUAUGGGGACCCCUCUCCCACCUCCCAGGAUAUCCAGGGUCUCACAGAGAUAACCUUUUGGCAAGGCAUAGAAGCAGCUGCCAGAGCCUCUAGGAUAGAGCACAUCUGGCUUUCACUUUUGAGCCCGUCCACUGGUCCCUGCCUGGCGUCUCUCCUCCCCCAGCUAGCUCCAGGACAGGCAGAGAAGUCACUGUGGGCUAUGGCCCCAGGUGGAGGUGGUAACUUUGUUCUGUUCACAGGACUUGUCUUCAAAAGAAAGCUUGCAUGGUAGUCCUAUUUAUAAAAUAGAAAAGGUAGGGCUGUCCUGACUCCAGCUGGGAAGUUUGAAACAGGCCAAACAGCCCCACACCCUCACCCUGCACCAGCCCCGCAUCCCCCAGCCCUGCAUUAGCUCUGCAUACGACACUCUAUACUAGCCCUGUGCCCACCCCAGACCCACACUUCUACCUUGAAAUAACCCACCUGCAUGGACUCUGGUGUUUCCCCGGAAGCCAGGGUUCCAGGAAGCAGGCCAGAUUCCAUCAGCUCUGGGAUUUGUGACUCAGGAAUUUGGAUAAUUUUCUCAGUAAUUGGUGGUAAUUCAGGUUUUGUGGACUAGGCACUUUCCCAGACACUUGAUUUUUCUCUUGUAUCCAUUCAUUUAAAUUUACUUAAAUUCCAUGGGUUAGACAUAUAUACAUUUUACUUCGAAAUGAUAUAAAAAAAAAUCCAAGUAAAGGAAACCAUUAAUUACU